rnacentral:snoRNA from 1 species
AAAUGAAGGAAGCAUGGUAAGGUGCACAGAGAUUAAAUUGAUCUUCAUGUUUGCUUGCUAUGAUGCUUUCUUGCUUUGAUUUUGCAGGCCUGGAUCUGAUCUACAUUU